GUGACUGACAGACGGGCUGCCGGCCUCCUUCGGGCUCUCCACCCCGUCCUGGAGGGGACCCGGCGACCGGUUACACUUGGCCUUGCUGACCGGGGAGGGGAGGCGGAGCACAAGGCACCCCCACCCCCAAUCUCCUUUUCCCCAAACCCCACGUUGCGCUUUUUGGCAGCUCACUGUAGGGCUUUGUAAAGCCAACUUCCUGGCACCGGCCGCCUCCCCCAACCCUGUCCCCAGCCUCCCCCCUCCGUACCUCCCCCAUCCCAGCCGCCGCCUGGGCGCAACCGCUGCCAGGCCCAGCGCUUUGCAGCAGCCUCGGCUGUUUUGUGCCCAAGCCCGAGAGAACAAAAAACACCCACCAAAAAACCAAGCUCAGAUCCUGAAGAUGACUUUUCUCCUCUCCAAACACGUCUCGUUUUUUUCCUUUCCGACGGAGAAAGCUUGAAGUCCAUACUGAUGGACUGGACCCAUUUACGAAUUUGACCCAACUUUACCCAAGAGACAGAAGUCCCAGCCGGACAACUGGAAAGGACGGGUUCGGGUGUCCUCUUACUUGUUCUGCCAGUGGCCUGAUUUCUCAGCUUGAUCCCGUGGAGGAGAGAAGGCACGCUGUGCUCUGUACAGAUAUCAGCCCAAAAGGAUAGCUUCUACUCCACUGCUACGGACCAAAGGCUGUGUGGCAGGCUGCUGGUUGGGUUCGGUUGGGUUUUUCCCCUUUGCUAUGCAAUAUUUAUAGAGGGGAAUGAGGCCACAUGAGAAGGGAAAGGUUGAAGGGGCCCCAGAGUCCCAGACAAUCGCAGAGCUCCUUUCCCUCUUCCCUCGAUGUCCCCAAAGCUCCUCUAGGGGAUCUUGCUGUGUUGCCCAAUGUUUGACUUGAAAAUGCAGGGUAGUAAAAGGCACUCUUUUUUGCUUCCUUCUGUUCAAACAGUCCUGCUCCUCUGCACACACACAGGUAAAAGCUUUCCCUGAAAUUCAGGCACGCGUUCAUUUCUCAAAUAUUGUUUAUAUGUAUAUACAUAUAUAUGUAAUAAAUGAAUGAAUGCCCAAA